rnacentral:rRNA from 1 species
CUCAAAGGAAUUGACGGGGACCCGCACAAGCGGUGGAGCAUGUUGUUUAAUUUGACGCAACGCGGAGAACCUUACCAGCCCUUGACAUCCUGGUCGCGAGGAGUGGAGACACACCUUUUCAGUUCGGCUGGACCAGUGACAGGUGGUGCACGGCUGUCGUCAGCUCGUGUCGUGAGAUGUUAGGUUAAGUCCUGCAACGAGCGCAACCCUUAUCGUCUGUUGCCAUCAUUAAGUUGGGCACUCUGACGAGACUGCCGGUGAUAAGCCGGAGGAAGGCGGGGAUGACGUCAAGUCAUCAUGCCCCUUACGGGCUGGGCUACACACGUGCUACAAUGGCGGUGACAGUGAGCAGCUACCUCGCGAGAGGACGCAAAUCUCUAAAAACCGUCUCAGUUCGGAUUGCACUCUGCAACUCGAGUGCAUGAAGUUGGAAUCGCUAGUAAUCGUGGAUCAGCAUGCCACGGUGAAUACGUUCCCGGGUCUUGUACACACCGCCCGUCAAGUGAUGGGAAUUGGUUCUACCUGAAGCCGGUGCGCUAACUUUUGAGGCAGCCGACCACGGUGGGAUCAGUGACUGGCACUAAGUCGUAACAAGGUAGCCGUAGGGGAACCUGCGGCUGGAUCACCUCCUU